UACUUGUUAGAAGGUUACUUGUUAGUUCAGGACCUUGUUAUUCUUGUCUGAACUAUUGUAGUAGCCUCCUAACUGGUCUC
rnacentral:pre_miRNA from 13 species